rnacentral:rRNA from 1 species
GUUAGCAACAGUCAUAGCACGUGGCUAACCUGCCCUUGGGACGGGAACACCCCGGGAAACUGGGGCUAAUUCCCGAUAGGUGAAGAUUCCUGGAAUGGGUUUUUGCCGAAAAGACGUUUAGGGCACGCUUCUAAGCGUUGCCCAAGGAUGGGGCCGCGGCCGAUCAGGUUGUUGGUGAGGUAAUGGCUCACCAAGCCUUUAACCGGUUCGGGCCGUGGGAGCGGUAGCCCGGAGAUGGGCACUGAGACAAGGGCCCAGGCCCUACGGGGCGCAGCAGUCGCGAAAACUUCGCAAUAAGCGAAAGCUUGACGGGGCCAUCCCGAGUGCCAUCUGCUGAGGAUGGCCUUUACCCAGUAUAGAUAGCUGGGGGAAUAAGGAGAGGGCAAGUCUGGUGUCAGCCGCCGCGGUAAUACCAGCUCUCCGAGUUGUGGGGACGUUUAUUGAGCCUAAAGCAUCCGUAGCCGGCUGGGCAAGUCCUCUGUUAAAUCCAGCGACAAAUCGUUGGCCUGCGGGGGAUACUGCUCGGCUAGGGGGCGGGAGAGGCCGUCGGUAUUCUUGGGGUAGGGGUGAAAUCCUAUAAUCCCAGGAGGACCACCAGUGGCGAAGGCUGUCGGCUAGAACGCGCCCGACGGUGAGGGAUGAAAGCUGGGGGAGCGAACCGGAUUAGAUACCCGGGUAGUCCCAGCUGUAAACGAUGCAGGCUAGGUGUUAGGGCGGCUACGUGCCGCUCUAGUGCCGCAGGGAAGCUGUUAAGCCUGCCGCUUGGGUAAUACGCCGGCAAGGCUGAACUUAAAGGCCA